GACAGAGGUGCCAAGCGUUAGGCGGAAUCACUGGGCUUAAAGCGUGUGUAGGCGGAUGCCUAAGUACCUUGUGAAAUCCCACGGCUCAACCGUGGAACUGCUUGGUAUACUGGGUGUCUUGAGCCAUCUAGGGGCUACCGGAACAAAUGGUGGAGCGGUGAAAUGCGUAGAUAUCAUUUGGAACGCCAAUGGUGAAAACAGGUAGCUGGGGAUGUGCUGACGCUGAGGCACGAAAGCCAGGGGAGCAAACGGG
rnacentral:rRNA from 1 species